rnacentral:rRNA from 1 species
UACAGAGGUCCCAAGCGUUGUUCGGAUUCACUGGGCGUAAAGGGUGCGUAGGUGGUGAGGUAAGUCUGAUGUGAAAUCCCGCAGCUCAACUGCGGAACUGUAUCGGAUACUAUCUUGCUAGAGGGUUUGAGGGGGGACUGGAAUUCUCGGUGUAGCAGUGAAAUGCGUAGAUAUCGAGAGGAACACCAGUGGCGAAGGCGAGUCCCUGGAAAACUCCUGACACUGAGGCACGAAAGCUAGGGGAGCAAACAGG